rnacentral:rRNA from 1 species
GGACUACAGGGGUAUCUAAUCCUGUUCGCUACCCACGCUUUCGCGCCUCAGCGUCAGUAUUAAGCCAGGUGGCUGCCUUCGCCAUCGACGUUCCUUCCGAUCUCUACGCAUUUCACCGCUACACCGGAAAUUCCGCCACCCUCUCUUAUACUCCAGCAAAAUAGUCUGCGAUGCUCUUCCUAGGUUAAGCCCAGGGCUUUCACAUCACUCACAUCUCACCGCCUACGCGCCCUUUACGCCCAGUAACUCCGAUUAACGCUCGCACCCUCUGUAUUACCGCGGCGGCUGGCAC